UACGUAGGGGGCAAGCGUUGUCCGGAAUCAUUGGGCGUAAAGCGCGCGUAGGUGGCCACAUAAGUCCGUUGUGAAAGUCAAAGGCUCAACCUUUGAAAGCCGAUGGAUACUGUGUGGCUAGAGUACGGAAGAGGCGAGUGGAAUUCCUGGUGUAGCGGUGGAAUGCGCAGAUAUCGAGGAGGAACACCAAUAGCGAAGGCAGCUCGCUGGGACGUUACUGACACUGAGGCGCGAAAGCGUGGGGAGCGAACAGG
rnacentral:rRNA from 1 species